rnacentral:lncRNA from 1 species
CUCAUGUCUACAGGUUGCUCUGGAGAGAAAGUACUAGAGAAGACCCAGACCACACCAGAGACUUCUUUCCACCAGCACUGGCUGAAGCAUCCCACGUGGAGAAAGACCCAUUCUGCGCUCUCUGCACCUCCUGCUCUGACUGAAGACCACACCACUGGGAGGUUCUGGAUAAGCCUACUGUACAGAAUGCCACUCCUUUUGAUAAAGGCUCAACACAGACACCACUGGAACCUGGGCGGAACCAAAAGCAGAAACUCUAGAAGCUAAGGGAUCUGUGGCCUGCCACCACCACCGGAUGUGGAUGUAGGCGUGCAGGAGCGCUGCCUGCCCAGGGGACGCUCACUUCCCCACCGCUAUCCGCAGCUCCAAAGCAAGUAAAACAAACUAUCGAGGGGGAAGGCAAACAGCCCAUGUGCUCCUCGUGUCUUUCUGUUUAGGGAUGGGAUGGGAAGGUCUGCACAGCUGAUACUUCCAGAUGUGGAACCCAAACACAGGCAGCUCCUGACAGUUUACCAGCCUG